rnacentral:rRNA from 1 species
AUUGAACGCUGGCGGCAUGCCUUACACAUGCAAGUCGAACGGUAACAGGUUAAGCUGACGAGUGGCGAACGGGUGAGUAAUACAUCGGAACGUGCCCAGUAGUGGGGGAUAGCCCGGCGAAAGCCGGAUUAAUACCGCAUACGACCUAAGGGUGAAAGGGGGGGGAUCGCAAGACCUCUCGCUAUUGGAGCGGCCGAUGUCAGAUUAGCUAGUUGGUGGGGUAAAAGCUCACCAAGGCGACGAUCUGUAGCUGGUCUGAGAGGACGACCAGCCACACUGGGACUGAGACACGGCCCAGACUCCUACGGGAGGCAGCAGUGGGGAAUUUUGGACAAUGGGCGCAAGCCUGAUCCAGCCAUGCCGCGUGCGGGAAGAAGGCCUUCGGGUUGUAAACCGCUUUUGUCAGGGAAGAAAUCCUUUGGGUUAAUACCUCGGGGGGAUGACGGUACCUGAAGAAUAAGCUCCGGCUAACUACGUG